AGUCCGUUCCUCUCUGCCCUGCGCCGUCCCCAUCCUCUGUAGAAGGAGCACGGCUCUCGUCGAUGUGCCUGGUGGGGAUCCGGUGCAUCCCCUCUCCACUCGCCUCCUCCUCUCCUGGGUCCCUGCGUUGCCGGCUCAGCCGCUUCUCCUGCGUCUUCUCCUCCCCGCUUCUCUCCUCCUAGUCGAGUCCUGGACCGGAUCGGCGUCCGGCGCAGGAGGCUCGGGGUGGUCGCGGGUUCGGCGCCAUCUCCUUCCUUCCCGUACACUGGGAUCAAACAGCCCGCGGCCUGGCGGUGCCGGCCUGGAUCCGGAGGCAGAUGGACCAGAUCCUGGAGCUGGGCACGAAGGAGCUCGAGGUCGACGACUCCGGCUUCGUCCUCCUCCUCUGACGUCGCCACCUUGCUCAGGUCCAACACAUCUAUCCAUCGCCCCAGUUUUUACCAUUUCGUCGUGAUUACCAUCCCACGCCAUCCAUAGGGUGUGCCUUCUGCCCUUCUCACCACUCUGAACUCGGAGCAAGUGGAAAUUGGGUUGGGGAAGUUUUUCGAGCUCGAAAUUAAACCUAGUUCUAGAAUAGUAGAUGCUGGUGCUGAGAUGGUCGGUAGGCAGUCGCACUCAUAGGUCUCCAUUGCUUCAAAUCUAUUUGGUUUUAGGUGAUUUGGCACCCAAAACUCACAACACUGUUGCUACACAUCAGUUCAGGAAUCAAGGCAAAUAGCGGUAUUUCCCUUUGGGGUGAAUGGACGAACUGAUUAUGGGAAGACCAACCAAGUAGUUUAUACAAUACUCACAAUUUCUCACACUUCCAGCGAAUUAAACUGACGAUUAGAUGUGCCUUCUCUCAUUCGUACAUUGUUUGGGGGUUUGGUCUGAGAAGUGGGUUGCAGCACUCAUGAUUUUGCUUGUUUCAGGGAUGGAAUGAAUUGGGGGUCAGCAUCUAACACACACACACACACACACACAGCGCGCGCGCACACGCACGCACGCACGCACACGCACACGCACACACACACACACAGAGGGAGAGAGAGAGAGGAUAAUUCUGUUUAUUAUGUCAACCAUGUAGUAGAAACCAGAUAGAACUAAACAGCUAGGGUUUUGAAGUUGACUCGGUAGCUGAAUCAUGGUCCAUGAAUUUGUGUAAAACGACAAGUGUGCUACUGAAUUAAAAUUCUACCUGUUCAUUCCAUUGCCCAGUUACCAUCUGAAAGGUUCUAUUUUGCCACCGCAACUCUAAUUAGAUUGUUAUAGUUCAGACUAAGGGGAUCAAGAUUAGUCAUCUGUUAGCUAUGUACUAUGGACCUCAACACUAGCUGAGUAGCUACGUAGCUAAUCAUUGAUCUUGUCUUGGGUGAAAGGCUGGCGUUUGUUAAUUCAGAUACUGAAAGUUUUCUGUUCCCAUUUCCUGGAUUGCGGGUCCUGAUGCGCAAGAUUCUUCUGUUUGCUACGGGUCCUGGACGAUGGCAAGCAUUGACGUGCGUACGCCGUUGCAACAGCCACACCUCAACCCUCCCGACGCACGCAAUAAUCAGCGGUGCCAAAAUGAUUUGGUGUUUGCAAGGGUCGCUUUUGUUGCAUUUUCUACGUGAGAAACCAUCUCAGGCUAUUUGGAUGCACCUGCACAGUACUGAUAGUACAUGAAAUUCAUCAACCUGCUGUUGCCGCAACCAACCAAAAUUUGCUCUAACAGAGUGAUGAAUACAAUAUUCAUGCUAAGCUUUCUUCAAAUUAUGCUAAUUGAUCUUAAAAAGCUGGCUACUGGUGUUAUUUGCUGCAAUUUAUUUCUGACAGCCAGGUAGUCUUGGAAUGCUUUCGUGAUGCAAUUUAUUUCUGACAGACAAGCUAUGCUAAUUGAUCUUGAAAAGCUGGCUACUGGUGUUAUCUGCUUUGUGGAAGGCUGUUAGCAUUAAACUUUAGUGCUCGGCUGUCCAUCAUAGUCUCAUUCCCUAGAUAAUUAAUGAGGCAUGAAAAAUAGGUGAAAUUGCAGGAAAAUUGAAGAAACGGAGGAACACGAUUCAUUUUGUCAAUGGGAACAUCUACUGUUACAGAUACACUUUCUGUACUCUACCUAUCGAUGGCACAAUGUUUGAAUAUUAAGUCAUUUAAUUUUGUCAUUAGCAGGUUUAUUUAUGUUCAUACUCCACGUAUGCACGUGCUGCUCCAGUGGUGUUUUGUUAUUUGAUUGGCAUAAAUGGAUCUCUCCAUGUUUAUUGGUUGAUCUCCAACCCCUACUCUGCUGUGGUGCUGUGGGAGCAAGAAGAGCAUGCAUGCUUUCUCUCUACAUCUAGGGUCCAUACGGCCAGAUUGACGGGCCUAAACUCUGGCUCAAAGGUUUCUUUCAAGAAUCAAGAGAGAACAUUCAAGGAGUGGAUUGUUUGGAAAUUAAAACCUUCAGAUUUCUUAGAACUUCACUCGGAUUUAUGUGAAUAUAAGCGUAAGAGGUCUAGUGGCAAUGCUACAAAAUCAUUGCAGGCGUGAGUAUCCGGAUUGCACUACUGCUGGCCGUUUCUUGCGAUUGCGUACAACAGGCUUCUGACAAAGCCAAGUCAUGGCCUCAUUAGGCCCCUUUUUCCAGCCAAACUGAAAGCACUUCAUGUUAGCUUGUAUUCGCUUUUGGAUUAACUACAAUGCAUUGUACCCAUCCAUGCUCCAGGGAUAUAAUAACGUUGUAGAUAGACGGAGACUGAAUCAGUUCACACUACUUUGAUGUCUAUCGAGCCAAUGGGACAACAAAGAAAAGAAGAACCGGAAGCAGGUUAUCUAUCUUCACGAGCAAGUUGGCGUCUGUAAACCUUCACCGGAGCCAUUCCAGCUCUUUCAAAGCCACAAGGCAAGGAAGUUGAGGAACCAAGACCCCAACGGUGCGGAGCAGUUUGCCAUCGAGAGGACUAGGGCUACCAUAAGGGACCUGUAGACCAAGCUCAACAUCUCCCUCGUGCCUCCAUCAACACCGUGUCCUGGAGGGUCGUCACCGUCCGCGACGACGAGCUACUGCCGCAGCUUUGCCAGCCGCACGGUUAGAGGGAGGCAUCAAGGGCCUGCCACCGCUCCCGGGGCCGAUGUGCGUGUAAUUUCUAUUAAUGUAUCUUAUGUAGCCAAACAACAACAUGCUCCUGUCAAUGCUAUAUCAUUAUGGGCGUGGCAUUUUUCUUCCUCA